GACGAACGCUGGCGGCGUGCUUAACACAUGCAAGUCGAACGGAAAGGCCCUGCUUGUUUGGGGUGCUCGAGGCGCGAAGGUGUGAAUAACACGUGAGUACCCUCCCCUUGUCUUUGGUAUAACUUCAGGAAACUGGGGAUUAUACGAGAUAGGAACUCCCGCCGCAGGGUGGGGGUUGGAAGGGUUAGGCGGUUGGGGAUGGACUCCCGGCUUAUCAGCUUGUUGGUGGGGUAGUGGCUUACCAAGGCGUUGACGGGUAGCCGGCCUGAGAGGGUGACCGGCCACACUGGGACUGAGACACGGCCCAGACUCCUACGGGAGGCAGCAGUGGGGAAUAUUGCACAAUGGGCGGAAGCCUGAUGCAGCAACGCCGCGUGCGGGAUGACGGCCUUCGGGUUGUAAACCUCUGUUGCCUGGGACGAAGAGUGAGUGACGGUAACGGCAGAGGAAGCGCCGGCUAACUACGUG
rnacentral:rRNA from 1 species